AUGGAGGGGCUCAUCCCGUUCGUCUACAAGGCCAUCAAGGAGCGGCGCACCCGGAGCUACUCCAGGUGCGGCGCCGCCGUGGCGGACGAGGACGACGACUGGGAGCAGCAGAAGCAGCAGCGGGCCGCGGCGGCGGACGGCGCGGGGAGGGAGGCGGGGCACCGGCGGCACCGGUCGCUGGAGGAGCUGGCCGGCGAGGUGGGCUCCGCGGCGCCGGAGUGGCCGGCCAGCGGGGCCAUGCGCAGGGGCAGGAGCGCCAGGAUCUUCUCCUGCAUCGGCGGCAUGUAA
rnacentral:rRNA from 1 species